GAUUUCUCCAUAAGUACCCCAUCAUAAAAGAACAUGUACCAUCCUUUUCUCACUCAUCUAUGUCAAUUGUAAUCCAUCCAACCACAUGUUCCACGUGGUCACUCCCAAACAAAUUGAAAUGUAUUCUCAUCUAUCUUGACUUUGAAGGAAGAGUUAAUAGUCGCCAUUGACGUAGUUUUGAUCAGCACUUGUGCCAUAUGCAGUCUAUCUUUGUAUAUAGUUGAAGCGUCUGGCCUUAUAUAUGAUCCAAUCUUAAUGGUGAUUAGUUUGAAAAAACCUUCUCUCCAAGCAUGUAAAGGAAUACCACGUAUGCAUAUCCAACAAAAUGUCUCCCCUUAUGUUUGGUAUGGUGUCCAUUGGGAAAUAGAGCAAAACAAUCUCCUGAGUGUUGUUUUCUCUUCCUUUAUAUAGAUCAAUCCAGCAGUUAUUGAGAUCUCUCUCUAGAUUUGUAUAUAUGUGUUGAUGUGAAAGAAUGUUAUGAUAAAGUAAACUGUAUCUCUCCUCAAGUUCCACAAUGCAUAUAUAGUCUUUGUCGUUGUGCGUGAGUCUUAAUUAAGUUCAGAAAUAAUUUCAUGGCACUUCUAACUUCUAAGACUAUAUUUAUAUAAAUAUUUAUAAAUAUAGCAUUUGUUCAGUCGGAAUAAUAUUAUUGUAUUAUACAAAUUUGUUAUUUUACAAAUAUUGUUGAGUCGGAAAAAUGUGUAAUAAAUUAGGAAAUUA